GUUACCAAUACUCCUGUUGAUAGAGUGUGUCUGACCCCAAUGGACCACAGAAAUCUUCCACAAAAGCUCCUGACUUAUCCAAUAUAGACAAUGAUGCAGAAAAAAUUGUAGUGAUGCAUCAGGAGAGAACAUCCAUCAUGGAAGACCAAGAGCAUACCUCAGAAGAGCAGAGGCCGCACAGUGCUAGAAAAACUAAGCGGCCAUUUAUUGAUGCUAUAAGAGCAUGCUUUUGUGCAUGUUUCACCAAAAAACGGAGCUCUUCUUCCCACUACAAGAAAUAGAAGAGAAAACAUAAAAAAGUGAUGAACUUGGACAAGCCUACGACAAUUGCCUGACAACUUCUCCGACCAUCCACAAUAAGACAACUCAGGAGAAAAUCUGUCUCUUCUCCAAUAAUUGCUUUAAGAAAAAGCACAUUUUUAUUUUAUGUUUUAGAAUAAUAUAGUAUUAUAUUACAUAUUCUUCAGUGUUAUUUUCACCUGUUUAUUUUGUUUUAUUAUGUUAUAGUAUAUUACACUAUUAUAUUAUCUUCAGUUUUUAUUUCCAUAAGUUUAUCUUGUUUUAUUAGAUUAUGUUAUAUUAUGUUAAUAUAUUAUGCUUUCUUCAGUGUUUAUUUUACAUUUACCUUCCUUCCCUUGAUGUAAAUAGUUCAUGUAUAUGUGUACAUAUGUAUAUAUGUAUAUAUGAUUAUAUGUAUAUAUGUUUAUGUGCUUUGUAAUAUAUUUUUAGAAGAUACCAUUUUUGAAUGUACAAAGUUAUUGAAUAAUUAAUUAAUAAUAAUUAAAUAAUAAUAAUUUAAUUACCCAUUCAAA